AUACGGAGGGUGCAAGCGUUGUCCGGAUUUAUUGGGUUUAAAGGGUGUGUAGGCGGUGUAUUAAGUCAGUGGUGAAAGCCUGCGGCUCAACCGUAGAACUGCCAUUGAUACUGACACACUUGAGUUUGGUUGAGGUAGGCGGAAUUUAUGGUGUAGCGGUGAAAUGCAUAGAUACCAUAAAGAACACCGAUAGCGAAGGCAGCUUACUAAGCCGAAACUGACGCUGAGGCACGAAAGCGAGGGGAGCGAACAGGAUUAGAAACCCGGGUAGUCC
rnacentral:rRNA from 1 species